AGCCAGAGAGGGGAGUAAGAAAGAUGUUCACUUGCUGGUGCGAGGAGCCGCGUUUCCAUCCAUUACGUAGUCCCUGGGGAGUGCUAAAUGCAACUUUAUCUCUGCAGGGAAUGGAGAGGAGCAGGACUUCGCUGGAGGGAGCGAGUGAGUCCUAAGGUAGUCGCCGCCCCGGGUGUCCAGGCUUAACCUAAUCCUUCUUGACACCCCUCGCAGCGGUUCCCCGAGCUCUCUCACUAGGGGAAGGAAAGGUCCCACAGAGGGCGAGCGCCUAGAUCCUGUCUGCCCCCCAGGGAAACGCUGGCCUUUAGGGACCCUGAAGCGUGCACAGGAGACAGGAUUUCAAAGAGCGCAGGUUAGGGCUGGGUGGACCACCAGAGAGCGAGGCCAGCCCCUGAGUACCGGAAGCUCAUCUCUGCUCACACUACCACCCUGGGAGGGCACCAGGAAAUCCAGCGGGGAGACCCCCUGACAGAGAUCAGAAGUUCACCGCUCCCACCCCCCACUCAUCUCCUAGUUCACAUUUCUUUGGACACCUUUCUUAAGACAACACCUAUGGGUGGGGCCAGACCUCUGCCCAGAAUAUCUCAGCUUUUCCUGGGGUUAGAAAUAGGAGGGCUAUGGGUUCAAUUCCCAAUCCACCCCCCAACCAAUGGACUGGAAGCCCAUUUAGGGCACAUCUGUGUCCACCAUGGUACUUAGCAAGGUGUUUGUCACAGAGUAAAAACGCCCAUGAAAUAAUAUGUGUGUCUGGGAAGGAAGAGAAGGCAGAUGGAGGGGCAGGAGUAAAAGCCAGAGAAUUCAACAAGCCAAGGUUAAUGGGGUGGGGGGAGAGCUAGAGGAAGAUCACUGAAGGGUCUCCUCUCCUCCUAAAAAGGAGAUGAAGACUGGGCCAGAGGGGUGUGUUGUCCCCACACAGAGCUGUAAAUCUGGAUAGCAGCUUGUUCUUUUUUUGGAGUUCAAUUAUUUCAUCUCUCCCUCAUUUACUUUCUACUUUCCUUUCCUUCCUCAAAUGCUUAGUAAUCACCAGUCGGGGCCAGGGCAAGACACUGGAGAGAAAAUGAGGUAUAAAAUAUGGGUAUCUGCCCUCCAGGAGGUGGCAGUCUAGGAGAGUGGGGCAGCCCUAGGUAAAGAGGUGUUUGUGGUAUAGGUGUGACAGGUACAACGAGAGGGCGUUGUACAGAAAUAUGGGACAGGUUGGGAGAUGAUGCUGGGAUACUUAUCUUGCCACAUCCCUGCCGGGCCUCAGCUCCAGGCUAGAGAAUGGGGCAUAGUGGCAGGUCUGCAGGCAGUUCCUUGGUCCUUCUCUACUUACCCCAAGGCUGAAAGAAAAGGGUGGUGGACUGGGGCUCACCAAUAUGUUACUGCUUUGUUUUCCUGGAUUGGCAAGCUCAGUAACUAGCUGGCCCCUGCCUGUGCUAAUGAUGCCCACAUGGGGUCUGAGCCUUGGCACAGAUUCCUGGAAAGAUUCUCCCCACCUUCCUUCUCCUUGUUUAAUGACCACCACAGAUUCUCCCCUCCCCCUAGCUCAUAGCUUUGCAUUUUAUCAAGAGGGGGAUAAUGAAUGCACAGCUAUUGAUUUCCAAGGAAUUUCCGCCCCCAGGGAUAGGGAGUCUAUCAUCUGGAUCAGAGACACAUUUCUUUCCCUCAUUAAUUAAUUUUCUCCUCCUCCUUUGGCAGGCCCCACUUCACAUCUCCUUUGGCAGCUCCUUCCCCCCNNNCCCCCCCCCCCCCCCCCCCCCCCCCCCCCCCCAGCUCAGAGAGCAGAGAUUCCUUGGUUGGAGUGAGGGCCAGCACUGCUGGGAGUGAACUCUCCUAGCCUUGGACACCCACGCACCCACCCACCCACCUCUCCAGCUCUGGAGAGAAUGCCUGACAGCUGCUGCCCGCUGGGGCUACCUUUCUCCUUCCAAAGGGGUACGGGGAAAAUUAGCACUGGACUCCGCAGCCACUACCUGCACGCAUACACACACCUUUGGGAUUGGACCCGAGUUAUUUGUUCGGAUUCAGGGACAGGGUUUUGGCCCUGAAGAAUGUCUACUUAAGUGCGUGGAGGUUGUGUGUGUGUAUAGGGAGGAGAGGAUCGGGCCCCGGGUUCUAGCGUGAACCCAGAGAUCUGGCGCUACCUGCAGGCCGGCCACCUCGGGUUCUGGCGCCUGGAGCAGGAGCUCUGCACCUGCCAAAUUCGGGGAGCCACGUUUCCCGCGGGCACUUGCCCAGUUUUGAAACUAGGCACAUUGCACAGCGCAGUCAGCACUCUGCGCGCAGAGAAAGCCCCCAGAGCCCAAAGCUGGCCGGUUGCAGAGGCCGCUUGGGUUGUUUUUAAGCAGUGUGAAGGGGCAGGCAGGGGAGGAGCAGGCUCAGAGUAGGGGCGGGGGUCGGUUCUCCGAAGAGGAGCAGCACUUGGGUGGGCCCUGCACCCUCUUGCUCCGACACUUUCUGUCUGAAGGGUGGAAUGGAGGAGCUGCUGGUGACUGUACUUUCGCUUCCUCUCCCGGCCGCCUUCCCGGGCCAAGCCUGGGCUGCCUCUCAGCGCUUCCCUCGCGCACGCCGGUCGCGUCUCUCCUGCUGGCAGGGGCCCGGGAUCCUCGCGGGUCCUGCCGGGGUCCUCAGACCUCCUCCACGCAGGCCGCAAGGCCGCAGCACCCACCGGGGCCGGCGCUUGGCGGUGGCCCUACCCUCUAGCCAGCUCCAGGGCCCAGCUCUGCCCCAGCAGCGAGUUCAGAGUCACGUCCUUGCUGGCGGGAGCUCGGAGAUUUCCUGAAGGCCCUGUCCUCCCUUUCGCGCCCGGCCCGCGCCCGGCCCGCACCCUGGGCUGCUUGUCUUGCCCCCAAAGCUGAAGGGGGUGAGUUAUUGAGGCCCACGGUGAUCUCCCGUAAGGAUCCCGCCCCGCGUUCAGACCGGAUUCCAGAUGGGACCUGAGGAGAAGGUUCUUGAGGGAGCCGGUCGAAAACCUACUGUUUUCUUCCUUCUGGCCGUUUAAUUCAAGUGCAACUUCCGUUGGAAACAUUUUCCUGGAUGUCGACCAGCCCACCCCGAGAUGAUGCGCCCCCAGUAAAGUUCACUGCCGGUCACUAUCACUCUUGGCGUUACACGUGGAGAUUAUCUGUGUUUCCUGCAUCUAUCUAUCCAUCCAUCAGCUCCACCUUAAUCUUAAUCUCUCUGUGGACUUAAAACCAACCUACCUUGUGAAAGAUCUGCGGGUGAGGCCGGACAACUACAUCUCCAUCCUAACAGGGGCAUGGCCUCCCCCGCCCGCUAGCUGCCAGAACCAGUUACGCUGUCCGUGUGAACAAUGUUGUAUCACUAAACGGGGCCACGCGCCCGUGUGGUCUAGAUCCCAAGAGGAGGCAAGUCGCCCCCGCCCCACCCAGGAUCUUUCAAAACUGGAAGAGCGCGCUGGUCAGAGAAGGGGUUCGAGGUCCCCGGGUUAAAAACAACAACGAACGAACCAACUCUACAGCAGGCACUCCCGCCAGUGACCCUAUGCGACGAGAUGGAAAUUCUGUCGCCUUCCCUCGGCUCAGCCGCCUGCCCACCGCUGCGACUCGGACGCACGCAGGCCCCAGGUGGAGGGAGCUCCGCUGGCGCAAGUGGACAGCAGAGGACCCCCGGCCCUCCACGAGUGCGGUUCCGGGGACCCGGAGGCUGGCGCCCAUCGCCCUCCGCAGGCUCAGCUCUGCCUGCUGGAGCAGGAUCCCUAGGAGAGCCGGGAGCCGCCGAGGAAAGCGCGAAGCCGCGAGUCCAAGCGCCAGAAGUGCGGAGUUGGGUCCUGUCGCCGGGCUCCAGCGCUCGCCGGCGCCGCCGCCAGCCGCCCCUCCUCCUCGCCGCCCGCACAAAUCAAAGCCCCUUGCGAGGGACUGGGAAAUAGUUGCCUUGUCAUGUAACACAUUGCCCUGAUUUAUUAUAAAAUUUUAACGAAAUCAUGCAUAUUUUAACAGCCUUUAAUCACUGCAUGAAAAUUUAAUUCAUGGACUGUAGCGCGUUUAAAUAAAUGAAGUGUUAAUUCAUUAGGAUUAAUUAAUUUGUUAAAGGAUUGUGUGCAAGGUUAAGGUGGAAAGAAAACUCUUUGUUGGUUUCGCGUCUUAAUCGCCAGGUUUCGGGAGUGGUAAUAAAAUGAAAGGAAACCUCAAAGCAAAUCGUUUCUUCGGGUGGGGUCUGGGCGGGACCAGCUGACAGCGCCCUCGAGAGCGCGGGAUAUUCCGGCCCGAGGGGCCUGGGCGGGUGGGUCCCCCCUGGGGCACUGGGGGGGGCGGGGGUUGGGGGAAGGAAAGCACUGGCUGCGGAAAUCCCUGAAGGCUGGGUUCCUUGGAAUCAGAGGGAGGAAAGGGGGCCCAGAGCCCAGGCUAGCGGGCUAGACCUCACCUCCCCACCUUCAGCACAAAGAUGACCCUGUGAGUGAAGCGAGGUCGCGCCUUCCGGCCCUCGAAGCGCAAAGCCUCGGCUUAAUGGACAGAUGAUGGGCCAGCCCUGCCACCUCCUGAGCCUUCCAGCGCCCAGGGAGUCACUGUCUCGCCAUCAGGCCGCCGGCCCUGGCGGCGAGGGCGAGCUUAGAGCCUCAGGAGACGCUUGGAAAGAGGAGGCGGAGCAAAGCCAAACUUGCAAGCUCAGGCCGGAGCAAUCUAGAAACCUUUCUCAAUCAGGAGCCUUGACAUCAGAGAAUGGGUCCUUCAGCAUCUCUUCUGAGACGUCUGCUAAACAGAUGCUCCUUCAAGGAUAGCGGACGAGCAAGGGACGUUCUUUUCCGCACCGAGCUCUUAUUCAUCCUUAAAGACCCAAAGCUAACAGCACUUCCGGUAAGAUGCCUGAUUUCCUCUCUGCUCCAACCUACCCCCAACACCGACUUUUUCUACUCACCACGUUAUUAGAAUCAAAAAGGGCCACAACUAGCUCCUGUCCUCAUAGAAAGUCUCAUUUACAUGCCUAAAUCAUUGUCCUUGGGAACUGGAUCUUUACACCCCCAAAUUACAAGUGUCACACAAGGCACACACUUCUUUCUCCACAGUUGGUUGAUCCAAGGACCAUUUCUUAGAGGGGGGGGGGGUCUGCUCCCUGAUAAGACACAGCAAGCCUAAAAAUCUACCGUUUCAUGAAGUGGAACUUCAAGGUAUUUCUAGGCUGCAUCUGUCACAUAAAACUGAAGAUCACCCUAGCUUGAGCUCCAGAAGGGUUCUUCUUAAAAGAAAUCUGCAUCUUAAUAGAUGUUUCCUCGCUCAGAGUGGGGUUCCGAGAAUUAGGCAAUAAAUGUUCACUAUGCACUCUGAGAUCAUUGCUUAAAAGGUUUUCUCUCUGCCAAGUAUUAUUAAAAGGGUAGGGAGGGUUACAUCAUCACAGGCAAAGACAGUGUUGUAGGACUCGCACAAAUAGGAAUGAAAGACCUUAUGAGGCUUUGGGAAAUACUUUUAAUCUAAUAAGCCACAUUCCAUAAAAGUUAAACUGUUAUCUCAGUUUGAUGUUCUACAAGUGUCAUUCACAGGUACAAAAUCUAGUGUAUGUAUUACACUUUGAAUAACUGAAAACCAUUCAAGUAUUAGAAACAAGUUUCUGAAACAGCUUAGGGUGUAAGACCAAAGUUCUUCCCUUGUUCAGUGGUACCUUUAGUUUUGAACCAAAUGUAGAUACAAAAGAGAUUAUAGAAAUACAAAGUAUAUUUGAAUUUAAGGGACUAUAAAUCUUAAAGUCUCCCAUUUUCAGUUUUAGUCUCAACUGAUCCAUUAAAACAGGAAAAAGACAUGUCAUUAUGGAUAGAAUUAAGAUUUUGAAAAUUAAAAGAUGAACACUAAAGGUCAUGUCAGAACAAAAUCUAGAUCACGUCACAUUUCCUUAGCCAUUACAUUUUAGAUGAGCAAUCAAAAGAUGCUGUUUUUAUAGACAUGAACUGUUAGUGUCUGCUUCUCUUAUCAAGAGUGCAUCUUUUUCUAACAUAGCCUCUCAGUAGGGAGAGGCUACAUGUCAGAGUUAAUGUGAAUCUUUCUACAGUUAAAAGUGGCACACAACUCCCAUCCUUGAGCUUCUACCUUAGUGGUGGAGUUAGACCCUGGAACACUGGCAGGAAUUAAAUGCUACUUGAAAAGAAACAUGCUAAUACUUCUAAAGUAGUACUUUAAAAAGAAUCCUUGGAAAUUUCAAUUCCAUUCAUCCUUUGGCCUACAAAUGCGAACUCUCAUGCAUGGGGGAGGAAGAGUACAAGGUCUGGAGUCAGAGGCCCAGCUCUAAGACAUGGUUCUGUCCCAUUCCAGCCAUGUAAUCACUAAUCUUCAAUUCACUUAUUUGUAAGAUGGGGAUAAGAGUUCUUGACUCACAGAGUUUGAAAAGAGGAUUAUUAGGAAAUAAAAUUUAGCAAAGUACUUGGUUUCAAUAGAAGUUUUUGUGUCUACAGUGUGCAUAUAAUAGAUGUACUUGAAAAUACGAAACCACUGUACUUAUUAUGAUAUAUCAGAUUAUGGUAAAAGAGUACAAAUGAGAAUACGUGAUUAAAAUAAAAUCCUGCAGGGGUGGCUGAGUGGCCCAGUUGGUUAAGUUUCUGACUUCAGCUCAGGUCAUGAUCUUGUGGUUUGUGAGUCUGAGCCCCACAUUGGGCUCUGUGCUGACAGAGCUCAAAGCCUGCUUCAGAUCCUCUGUCUCCCUCUCUCUCCACCCUCCCCCCUCCCCUCAUUCUCUCUCCCUCUCUCUCUCAAAAAUAAACGUUAAACAAAUAAAAUCCUGGAGGUUAUUACCUUCAACUGAAAAAGUCACAGGUUUAAUUUAAUACAUGAAAUAUUGUUUUAGGAAGGAUGGAGCAAGGUUUCUGAAGCAGCUGGGAAAUGCUCUGGUCCAAUAUAGACACUAACCCUGAUUAGGCAUUAGUAAAUCAGGUUACACAUUCUGGAUUGCCAUGGCACACUGUCAGUUUAUACUGGAUUAAUGAAUUUAAAACUGACACAUUCAUAGUAAAGAAGAGUUACAGACAGAAUUAGAGUGAGGCUUUACUCUGUGAUUACUGAGAAAAAUUGUAGGUUUUUAUAUUUAGUGAAAUUUCAAAUAUAUUUACCACAUUGUCAAAGACACCUAAACUAUUAAUAUCUCUAAGAGUAUCCAUUAACAUAUCAAAAGAAAAAAUACCACACAAAUACUUAUUGGAAAACAUACAUGAUAAAAUAAAAAUGAUGCUUUACAUUAGCUUUUCUUUUGGGCCCUUAUUAUUUCCAAAACUGGAGGGCAUGAUUCUUCAAAUCAUAAAACUGAUUUGUUAUACUUUUAUGGUUUUAUUGAAUCCUUAGAAUCUAUUAUAACAGGGGUCAGCAAAUUUUUCUGUAAAAGGCCAAACAGUAAAUAUUUUAGGCUUUGUGGGCCAUACGGUCUCAGUGGCAACUAUUCAACUCUGCCACUGUAACGCAAAAGCAGUUACAGAUAUUACGUAAACAAAUGAGUGUAGCUAUGUUCUAAUAAAGACUUUAUUUAGAAACACUGAAAUUUGAAUUUUAUAUCACUUUUCUGUAUUAGGAAGUAUUUUGGAUUUUCAAAGACCAUCAAAAAGCGCAAAAACCAUUUUUAUAGUUCACAGAACUUCCUUCCACAAAAAACAGGUAUAGGCCAGAUUUGGUCCAUGCUCCAUAGUUUGUCAACCCCUAUAUUAUCAUGACCAAUUAAAAAUUACAAGUUUUACUGGUCUUUAUAGGCUAAUUCAAUAUCUGAGACACCAUCAAGGAUUACAGUGCUUAUGACAUCCUUUAUUCAAUUCACAUAGAAAAGCAUGCAGUAUUAAUGUAAAACAGUACAGUAUUAAUGUAAAAUGUUCAGUGCACAUUAGAUAAACAAGUCAUUAGCAUACAAACCAUUUUGAAAGGCCUAUAUAGGCAUACCAAACAUGUUUAGAAUAUACUUUUUCGGAGCCCAAAUUAAAAAUUGUGCUUAGCUCACCUAUUCUCAUCUCCUUAACAUUCUUCAUGAAAAAAUUUUUAUCCUACAUAAAAGAUAUUCUAUUAGCCAACUAAAACUUUUUUUUCUUAAGUAAGGAAAACAGUGCAAGCAAGAACGCUACCAUGCAUACAGUUUCCACAAAGAAUAGUAACAUGCAAACAUGAACUUGAUCACUCCAAAAAAAGCCCCACCAGGAUAAAAGUGGAUCAAGAACUUGGCAAAGGGCAGUUCUGCACCUGUGUAUCUGGAACAAUAAAGCUACCAUGUUUAGGAUCCUCCAAACCCAACCGUUCUGUGCCUUCUUUCCAAAGUAGGCUCAAUUUCUGAUUUUCGACGCACACAAAAAGAUGAGCAAAUGAAAGCUACCUGAUAUAAAACAAAUAUUUUCAUAUACAAAACGUAUUCUUUCAUACUAGCAAAAUGUUUUCACAAAAACCGGACAAAACACAAUGUUAAAAACGCAAACAUACAUAAAACCUAAAAAAAAAAAAAAAAGCAAAUGAAUACUGGACUAAGCUUAGAGUGCUAUUUUUCCACCAUGGCCUUGCCUAAAAGUUGGGCCAUCACUAAACAUAAAUAAAAAGGGGCAGGCAAAAUAACUUCCACCCAAGGAAAGCUUUAAAGAAACUCAAGUGUCUUAUAAGCAGUGUGUAGACAAUAUGAAAAGUUUUAUUGAAGAAAUCCACGUUCUGAAGACAACUGAGGCUCAUUUACAGGCCACUGUAUCUAACAGCUAAAUCAAGACUCAAGAAAACAAAAUACACCCAAACCAGAUACAUACAAUAUUCAUUAAAAGAAACCCUCUCCCUACCUUUUCUGAUUAAAAAGAUCCCCAAAUGAAAAUGAAAAAGGACAAAUUCUUUAAAAGUAUUCUGGGUACAGGCUAAUUCACCAUUCUGACUUGACACUUGACUACAGAUUAUCAAUUCAAAAUUGUACAGAACUUUUAUGAGGGAAAAAGUAACUUUAAAAACUUAUAUUCCUCUCAGGACGAAAACACAAACGACACCUUUCUAAUGAGUCAACUUUUCGUUGCUUUUGAUGGGCUGGCAUUGGAAAGACUGCUCUGGAUUUUUCUUUUCGUUGACUGAUUGAUAUUUUUAUUCCUCUUUUCAGGCACAAAAGAAGUAGACCAAGGAGACUGAAGGUGGUUAUGAAGACCAUGCAUCUCUGAGGUCAUCUUAAACAAAGAUGAUCCAAACCUCUGAUCUUCAAAUAGCCGGUGUGAACUGCUUAACAAAACACCCUGGGAAAACUCAGUCUGAAACAAACAGCUCGGUGGUUUGAUUUCAUUAGUUCCUGGGUUAGAACUGGUAUGGAGUGAAAAAUCUUCAUUCAUUUCUUGGUCAGAUGGAGAGAGGAGAAAAAAAGAAGUGGGUUUCCAUUCAUUUCCAUUUUCUAACU
rnacentral:lncRNA from 1 species